AUGGCCUCUAUGGAGGAGCUGAGAACGACCGUCAAUGAUCUGCACAGUGAAAAGGCGCCCGGACCCGAUGGCUUCAUUGGUGGGUUCUACCUGACUUGCUGGGACAGGAAUACAGUCAAGGAUGCACAUAUGAAGAAGAAGCCUCUGUUAUUCCCGACGCUAGAUUUUGCAGAGGCCUUCGACUCCAUUCAUUGGGAUUAUCUCCUUGAGGCCCUAACAGCUUUUGGUUUCAGCUCCCGAUGGAGCCAUUACAGAGGCUGUUUUCGCUUGCCACUCACUGAUCACGGGCUUCUCUCACGAGUGUUUAACCAUGCUGCCAAGAUGAGAACUAGUCUCUAUGCUGACGAUGCUGCUCUCUUUCUCAACCCUGUGGCAAACGAGAUUCAAACAGUGGUGGGCUUGCUGAAUCUGAUGCAAAAAAAUUUGCGCUCGCUCGCGUCGCUCCGGGGGGGCGGCACGGGCGAUAACCUAGCCGCCGCCGCCCCCACUCCCCGCUCCUUCCUCGCUCCCCUGCCGCCGCCGGGGGAUGCCGACGGGCAAAGCCCGCUCGGCGGACGGGCGGCGGCGGGCGGGCCCUAUCGCCGGCGCAGGCAAGCCGGGGCGGCGGCCCCGGGCAAGGUGGCGGCGCUGCUCCUUCCGACUCUCUGCUGA
rnacentral:rRNA from 1 species